rnacentral:lncRNA from 1 species
UAAUUUGUACUUUUCAUCAUUAAUCUCACCAUCAUUUCUAACACCUACAUUGGAAGUCCCCGAAAGGCACAGCUCAGCAUCAAAUGAGUCAAAUACCGGAAAAAGAUAAAGAAGCUGCUCCUGUUCCUCAUUUUCAUCAUAUGAAUUCUCAUCCGGACCCAGAUCCGGUACCAAAUGAUGGACCAGGUUUCUUUGCGUCUCAUUGGAUUUGGAUUUGGCGGCUCGAGGACCUGUUCCUCAUUUUCAUCAUAUGAAGCUGCUCCUGUUCCUCAUUUUCUUUGAAGUUGAUAGGAAUGAAA